AGAGUGAACGCUGGCGGUAGGCCUAACACAUGCAAGUCGAACGGCAGCACGGUAGGAGCUUGCUCUUACGGGUGGCGAGUGGCGGACGGGUGAGGAAUACAUCGGAAUCUACCUUUUGGUGGGGGAUAACGUAGGGAAACUUACGCUAAUACCGCAUACGCCCUUCGGGGGAAAGCCGGGACCAGCAAUGGCCUGGCGCUGAUAGAUGAGCCGAUGUCGGAUUAGCUAGUUGGUGAGGUAAUGGCUCACCAAGGCGACGAUCCGUAGCUGAUCUGAGAGGAUGAUCAGCCACACUGGAACUGAGACACGGUCCAGACUCCUACGGGAGCAGCAGGUGGGAAUGUGGACAAGUGGG
rnacentral:rRNA from 1 species